rnacentral:rRNA from 1 species
UACGAGGGGGGGCGAGCGUUGUUCGGAAUUAUUGGGCGUAAAGGGUGCGUAGGCGGCUUUGCAAGUCCCAUGUGAAAUCCCACGGCUCAACCGUGGAAGUGCAUGGGAAACUGCAGAGCUUGAGUACUUAAGAGGAUCGCGGAAUUCCCGGUGUAGAGGUUCGAAAUUCGUAGAUAUCGGGAAGGAACACCAGUGGCGAAGGGCGGCGAU